rnacentral:lncRNA from 1 species
CAGUGCAGGUCUGCAGGAAGGGCCUGCCUCCACUCAUGCAGGUACCUGGGAUCACCUGUCCAUUGGCUACACUGCCCUUUAGGGCCUCCAAAUCCCCAGCUGAAUUAUUCCCAUCCAUCUAGUAGGAAAGGAAAAAAGAAUGUUGAAGGAUCAUGCAAAAUGUUUUAGGGGCCAGUCCUGGACGUAAAAUAUGUUACAUUGGCUAGAAUGCUGUUACACAUUGCCACCUAUUUCAAGAGAUGCUGAGAUUUGGAGUCUUCUUGGGUGCCCAGAGAUUUGAGUAUCACCUAGCACUGUUUCUGCUUCAGAAAAAAUAUCCCUUGACAUUGGCUGUGAUACCUACCAAGCUCACUGUUAAAAACAGGAGGUCUAUCAAUAGUUUCUUACCACAAGGGAAAUGGAAGUAGAACUCUGAAGCUAAAUCAGAGGACUCCAAGCAAAUGAAGUGACUGAAGGCAAGAAUGGCUCAUUGCCCUUGAGCUACACAGAAAUGUAUAGGUGGGUGUAUUGGGUCGGUUCCCUGGAAGCACAACCUCAGAUGGGGAUUCUUGUGCAAAAGAUACACGGAGGAAGAGCUCAAGGAAGUAACUUGCAAUGAAGCAAGGGGAGCAAGCUGGAGCAGGAGAAAAGAUCAGGCAAAGGCAUGCUUUCAGAAGUCUAGCCUCGGCCUCAUCCACAGGGAGCUCCAGAGAGUGAAUGGUACCAUGCAGCUGGUCAACCUUCUUGGAGGAGGGAGCUGCUGAUAGCCUUCAGUAGACAGCACUUGCACUAGCCAAGGGAUGAGUGCACCAGCCCAGUGGAGGGGAUCUGGGUAGAGCACCUAUGCCAUCUGCUAUAAUAGACUCUACGUGUCUUCUAGGAAGGACAUGCUUUUCCUUUUCGUAUCCUCUACCUGAAGCAAUAUAUCACGUACUCAGCAGACGCUCAAUAAGUGUUUGAGAAAUGAAGAAACAAAAAGACAGAGGGAAGGAGAGAAGAAAAGAAACAAGAUUACAGAAAAUUCUAAAAUACUCUUGGGCUCCAAGAAAUGCAUCUUCAAAUAAGGAACUUCACAUACUUAUGCUGAGCAAUGAGAGAGAUAUUUUGAGAAACCUGAAAAAAUAAGAGAACUUUGAGUUUUCAGUGCUCUGGAAAUGGCAAAAAGGAAUCCCGCCAUGGACGACCUGCUCCUUGCUCCAGCCUGGCCAGUGCUUGGAAGUGAUAACACCAAGAGUUGCUGUUUAGGAAGGCAAGGAAGAAACAUCAGUGUCUCGUCUAGCCUCAGAAAAAAACGACUUCCUAUUUUUACUACUGUUAUGAAUCCCUCACUCAUGGACACCUUUGUGACGUGACUUCCAAGUUGCUAUUCUAUUUUCUGGCUGGAACCUGCAAACUCCAAUCUGGAAGUAUAUCUCUUUAGGGAAAGGGAAGGAAGACCAGAACCAGUGUUUAUUAAAUACCUACUAAAUGUCAAAUUUACUAUGCAUAGCUCUACAUAUGCUAUAUAAAUUACCCAUGAAAAAAAUCACUGGCAUCGCAAUGUGUAUCAGCUAGCAUUUGCUGCAUAACAAACCAACCUAAAACGUAGUGGCUUAAAACAACCAUGUAUUAUUGCUGAUGAGUGUCUGGAUCAGCUAAGUGGUUCUGCUGAGCCAUGCCAGGCUUAACUGAUUCCAGCUGGAUUCACUCAUGUUCCUGCAGGUAACUACUGGAUUAGCUAGGGGCUGGCUGGUAUAGGAUGCCCUCAGCUAAGGUGGUUCAUUUCUGUUCCAUAUUCUACAAAAUGAUAUUCCAUGCACGUUCACAUGGCAGUGGCAGAAGAGAGUAAGCAGAAGCCAUGAGGCCUCUGAGGCCUAGGCUCAGAUUGAAUCAUGGCCUUUGAGGCCUAGGCUCAGAUUGAACGCACCAUCCCUUCCACUCCAUUCUAUUGGCCAAAUCGAGUCACAGGGAUGGCCUAGAUUCAAGGGGCAGUGGGAGGGGAAAACAGAUUCCACCUCUUGAUGGAAUAAGCUGCAAAGUCACAUGGUCAAUGGCAUGAACACAGAGAGUAAUAGAAAAUUUGAGACUUUUCUGCAAUAAACCAACCACAAAUAUCUUGGAAUAUUCUAGAUC